AUUGAACGCUGGCGGCAGGCCUAACACAUGCAAGUCGAACGGUAACACAGAGAGCUUGCUCUCGGGUGACGAGUGGCGGACGGGUGGGUAACGGCUGGGAAACUGCCCGAUGGAGGGGGAUAACUACUGGAAACGGUAGCUAAUACCGCAUAACGUCGCAAGACCAAAGUGGGGGACCUUAGUGCCUCACACCAUCGGAUGUGCCCAGAUGGGAUUAGCUAGUAGGUGGGGUAAUGGCUCACCUAGGCGACAAUCCCUAGCUGGUCCUAGAGGAUGACCAGCCACACUGGAACUGAGACACGGUCCAGACUCCUACGGGAGGCAGCAGUGGGGAAUAUUGCACAAUGGGCGCAAGCCUGAUGCAGCCAUGCCGCGUGUAUGAAGAAGGCCUUCGGGUUGUAAAGUACUUUCAGCGGGGAGGAAGGCGGUGAAGUUAAUAGCUUCACCGAUUGACGUUACCCGCAGAAGAAGCACCGGCUAACUCCGUGCCAGCAGCCGCCGUAA
rnacentral:rRNA from 1 species